AUGCUUUGGCAGCACAUAUAGUAAAAUUGUAACGAUAAGGAAAAUAUUAGCUUGGUCCCUAUGCAAAGAUAACAUGCAAAUUCAUGAAACUUUCCAUAGUUUC